GUUUUGAAACCCCCAUUACUGUACAACAUCAUUGGCCAAAAAAUCGAUUCGAUAUGUUGUAAGACAAAAAAGCAUCUCAGACGGCAGAAGAAAAAAAAAAAAAAAUUAAAAACCAAUUCUUCAGAGAACAAUUGAAGGUCUUUCCACCUCGAUAAUAAGAAUGAAAUUUAAAAAACCAUGUUAGAAAAUGUUACUCCGUGUUGAUGUAAUGUGGUAAAUCAAACUGAUAUAAAAAAAUAAGAUUAUUAGGUUUAUGCAGAAGACUUAAUUGUUUUAUAAUGAACCAGAAAGAAUUUUUAGCAAAGGUCAAAAUCUAGAACGUCAAAUUGACCUUUGACCUUGACCUCAAUUUUGAGGUCAUAGGUCAGUGAUCUCAAUCAAAAGACC
rnacentral:lncRNA from 1 species